UACGUAGGGUGCGAGCGUUGUCCGGAAUUACUGGGCGUAAAGAGCUCGUAGGUGGUUUGUCGCGUUGUUCGUGAAAACCGGGGGCUUAACCCUCGGCGUGCGGGCGAUACGGGCAGACUUGAGUACUGCAGGGGAGACUGGAAUUCCUGGUGUAGCGGUGGAAUGCGCAGAUAUCAGGAGGAACACCGGUGGCGAAGGCGGCAUCCUGGACCGGCAUUGACGCUGAGGAGCGAAAGCCAGGGGAGCAAACGGG
rnacentral:rRNA from 1 species